UCUGGGAUUUGGGAGAGCAAUUGGCACCUGAGCCAGUGAGCUCUCUGUCUUCUCACGCGUGGAAGGGUCCCAAAGCAGAAACCCACAGCUGAGACACCCAGGCUGCUUCUAUUUCUGUGGGAAACAACAACCUCCAUGGCUGUGACCUCUCAGGAAGCCUGUCUAUAUGAAGAAGGAGCUGUGUCUGCCUGGAGCUGUGUCUCCUGUCAAUAACUCGUCAGGAGCCAGUCUGGUAUGCCUGAUGCUCCGUUUCUCAGACAGGGGAAUGGAUCUGUUUCAUGAAUGAAGUAAUGACAAAAAGAAAAGUCAUCUUUGAGGGUAAGGAGACUUCACUGAACAGUCUGAAAUAUGGCACUGAGGCAGAGGACAUGAACUACUCACUUGGAAUCUUUCUUGGCCCGAGAGGAAGCAAGCCUCUAUUUGUCAUAAGAGCUGCAAACUGGAAAAGUGUCUCUCUGUAAUAUAACCAAAGUCACUGAAGAAAAGGAAGUCUGCUGGCUAAGACACUAGCUUAAGAGGGAGAGACCAGUAUUUUGACCCAUGUUCCAGGGACUGUAUAUAUAUUUUACAUUAAACAGGUAAAGAAAAAAACAUAAUUUGAGAUUCACCCUCUAAAGUUAUAGUCUGAGUUGUAUGGUAAAUUGUAGGAGGCAGAAAAAAAGAAGAAUGUUUUUCCUUGCGUAGCUGUAGUGGAGUUAGACCUCUGAUUCCUACAAGAUACUUCAUUCUGACAAGGCUAUAAUUCUGCUUAGCAAUUGUAAGUUGGAGUUUUGGGAUUCUGGGUUUUUUCCUCCUUUCACUCUGACAGCACAGCUGUACAAAGCAUACCUGUGUCUGAGAGUCAAGACCAGAAAUGGCCUCAGGAAGUGGAAGAAAUAAAGUCACAUGGAUGUGAUUUACAAUGAUGUGAUUUACCUGACUGAUUGUAAAAGACACUGAAAAGUCUCCAGUCAUUCUUUGCAUCUUGCCUAGUGCUCAGGUAGGUCCUGGUAAGGGAGGCUGCUGUAUGACUUUUCCUGGCUGUGGCUAUUGCACAUGUAGUCCAUCAUUUCCAGCACUAGCUUCACUGUGUUAUUCAGUUUUAAAGGCACUGAUAACAUUCUUUAGUUCCUCUGGGCAGCAUGGCUAAGAAGCAAAGGCUUCUGGCUGGGUGGCUGUAGGAGAAACUCCUGUUCUGCUUCCUUUUUUUUCUUUUGUCUUUUGUUGAGCUUUUAGAACCCCUCACGGCUACAAUAAUUUUUAUAUGCAUUGCUGUAGGCUUCCUACCCAUGUGCUAGCUCUGUACCAAGAAUGCUAGUUACUGAGUCAAGCCAUUCGGUGUUUACGUCUGAGGAAGUUGAAUUGCUCUCCCAUUUCCACUGACUGCAUCAACCAGACACGGUUGAGCGUAACAAAGGCCUAGACUCCUAGCCCAUAUGUGGACAUCUACCCGGAUAUAUUUAAGUGCAAGUACCUUAAUCCAGAGCUGAGGGAGUGGUGGUUUCUGCACCGUCUAAGAGAUGGUAUUUUCUGUACACCGGUAGCCUUACCAUUUUCAGGAUCUUAGAAGGCAUAACAGUUUUCUUCUAAAAUUGAGAGAGCAAGAAGAUGCUUGUCUGAACGUUGAGUGAGUGAGUAAUGGAGGUAGUUUUCCUGGCAAUGCCAAAGAAGAUGGGGAAUAGCCACAGAAGAAGGUGGGACACAGUGGAGGGAUGCCCUAGUCCUUUUCAGUAGACUACAUGCUACCCUUUGGAAUCCUUGCCUUCCACAGCUCACCAGUAGGUAACAAGUCAAGGAAUUAGGCUGAGGGUGGGAGUGGCACAUAGAGAGAUACUGAAGAGGUCAGUCUAGAGAUGUGCACCACAGGCAUCUGGAGGAAAUGCAGCAAAAGUUAGUAAAUAAUCAAAGCUGCUUUCCCGCCCUGGAGCAAACUUGAAAUGCAAUACAUGAAGCUAGAGCUACAGAGGCACCCAGCCUCUGUGACCACAGCCCAGAAAAUUGCAUCUGAGGCCAGGCACUGAAGUUACAGCCUCCAUCCCUCUGUUACCAAAAUAAGUAUGAACCUGACACUGUCAGACUAAAUUUCAAAGAAAGACCUGAGGAAGAUCACCAGCUUUGAGCCCUUUCAUACAGAAACCAGAGUUUCUUAUUCACUUGGAAAUGUAGAUGAAGCCAUAUAUCAGCGCAGUUCAUGAUGUAAACAUUGUAAAAGUUUUUAAGAGGCCUUCAGGGUGCGCAUCAGGCCCUGGCAGCCCUCUCCUAGAAAAAGCAGGAUCCUACAGAGAUCCAACACCACAGCAAGUGCUGUUUAGCACUCCCAAAAUAAGACUCCUUAGACUGCUCCCUCCGCCAUCAGUCAGGAAUAGAUUGCACCUCCUUCGUCUUCCUGAAGAUUAUCCAGAAACCAUUCCAGUUCUGUUAUGGCCAUCUGGGGGCCCAAUCACACAGAGUGACAUCCAGAGAGGGUUCUGGAGGCAAGUGUACACAUCUAUGGAGCCACCCAAGAACACACUCCAUAGAGAUCAGCUCCAUUGCAGAAUCAGUAAGCACCAGUGACCUUGCACUUUCAGACAAAGGGGCUGCAGCUCAUCUUGUUGCAACAGAAGCAGCUGCCACUACAAACAGGAAUACAUGCUGGACUCCAUCUUUUUUUCUUAUCCUAUCCCUUUAGCUUACCAGGGCAGCCUUGCUGACAGUGCUGAGGCAGCAGUGUCCCCACUGCCAGGUGCUCCAGCAAAGGCUGAAGGAAGGUAGCAGCUGUGAUCAUGUUCUCUGCAGUCACUGUCCUCCUGUCCACAUUGCAGGGGCAAAGCUGCCAGAGCGAAGCUUGGCGUGGAUGCUAACCAGAUGGCUUUGGUAAUGAUGGCAGGUGGAGGAAGGAGUCACCAGAGAAGAAAAUCAGGGAGAGAAAAUGAGUUUGAACACUUCUCCUCACUUUUGCAGGAGAAGGAAGCAAAUGCAAGAAAAGAAUCAUAAAGUCAGAGAGAGGAACACAACACAGUAAGGGAAGAAUUUCUCUGGGACUGACAAGGAAUGUAUCAGUGGGUGGGCUGGUUAGAUAUAAGGCAAACAGAUUUGGGGAGGCAUCAGCUGUGUGAGGCAGGAUAAGGGAAGUGUAGGUAAGGGGACAGAGAUUUGGACAGGGAGGAAACUAGCAACCUGGAAAGGCCAAAGAGGCUGGAAUAGACUGUAAAUUGUGAAGAGAAACUGCAGAAGACAGAGAAGACUGUAGGUGAAGUAUUGAUUUGGGAUCUUUUAGUCAAUAGUAGGACUGGAUACUAAGAGGAAGAGGUAAGGAGAUAAGCAAGCCUAAGGGAUGGGGAGGCUGAAGGGCAUGACAGAUCGACAGAGGCAGGGCAGGGCCCCACCUGUCCCAGGCAAACCAGUGAAGGCAGGAACAGAGGAAAAUGAAAGGCAGUCUUUGAAGAAGAGUGACCAAAGACAAGCUCUCCAUGGCACUGCCACACUCAGCCAGGCUGCAGUGCAGGGCCCUAGCAGUCCUCUACAGAUAUGCCAUGUAGCGUCCAGUCUUUGAAGAGCAGGAAAGGUGGAUCUCAGCUCUGCUCCUACCAAACAGUGCACUUCCAAGGGCAUGUUUUCUGGGUCCUUCCUUCUCUGUACUCCUUACUUGGUGCUCGGAGGUCUGACUUGCCCAAGUGCUGAGCUCUCACAGCUCUGUAAAAUCCAAUGGGACCUGUGCUUUGUGCCUAAGCAAUGUUGCAGAGUGGUAAGUGCUCUGAAAAGCCUGGCCUAUGCGUGGACACCCAAAACUGGUGGGUCCUUGAGAACAAAACUCUCUGCACCUGUUUCCUAUCUGUAAGAUGAAAGUAGUAACAUCCCUUCAGCUCUUCACCUCACGGAAGUGUUGUGGAAAUAGUCUUGUGGGUGUUUGCAGGGCAGGUGGGUUCUGCAGUGAACAAAUCCAGAAGUGAGCCCACGAGGAAAUUAAUAACUGUCAUCAGGCCCUGGAGUGAAGGUUGUGCAAUAAAUAGUGGACAGGGCCACACUGUGAAUGAUAAGAGAACGAAGAACUGCUCAUGGACUGAGCACUGUCCAGCCUGUACUCUGAACGAAGGAGGUGUCCUGCAGGAAAGGUAGUACCCCCAUAUCAUUGUAGAACAUACCACUACUCAUAUGAACAAGGGAGCAACAUAACAUGAUGUGGCCAUCUUAACAACUUUGGGGGAUUUAGCUUUACAGCCUUCACAAUGUGUUCCAAGCCAUAUUAUUAGUUAUAAUGCCGUACAGUACCAGUACUUCCGCAAGAUGAUUUUAGCAGAUGAGAAAGAAGCAAUGCAUAUUUGCUGCUGGAUUUCUCACAGGCAGGUACAAGGUGGGUAGUAUAGGGUUGAGGAACUACUGCCAAAGUUUUCCUAGAACUACUCUACCUUUCAUUCAUAUGGAGAUAUUGUCACGUAUGCCUAGUUUCAUACUAGUUUCAUACUAAAGGGGGAGUGAGGAAGCUGUGCAUGUCAAGGAUGGCCUGAGAAAGCAUCUGACAAUUGAACUCUUGGGCAAGAGCACAACUCUGGUCUCGUUAAGACUGAACUUUGCAAAAUCCAGAAUAUUGGUGUGCCUACUUUUAAAGUUUUGUUUGUUUUUCCUGCACGUGCCUGUUUAUACACGUCUCUAGGUAAAUGUUCUUCCUAUACACAUUUUUAUCACUGUCAUAUUAUCAGGGCAUGCAAUAUAAUAAACAGAUCUGUUAAAGCACCAAUGAUGUCUCUAUUGGCAGACUUAUAAAAGAGCUCGCUGACCUUGGUUAAUUAGCCAUGUAAUAAACCAGAACUGAAAGAACCUAUUCCCACAAACCACAGCACAGCACCACUCCACCCCCCGCUUGUCAGAGAUGCUCUGAAUAGGAAGUCAGCAGACGCAAUGCAAAGUGCAUCCACUUAGCCUUAUAGCCCUUUUGAAUAUAGGCAAAGAUUAACAAAGAAAUUUCUUUCCAGCCACUGAUUAAGAAAUAGUCUUUAAAACAAAAAGAUAAGUUUUCCAAAUACUUGUGGCUAUUAUUUCUCUUCUCUUACUGACUAGUUAUAUUUAUAGAUAGAUAAUUAUAUAUAUUUCUGAAGCAUCACAACACUUCCACUACAAAAAAUCUUGAAAAGUCCUUCUACCCCUUUCAGAAAUGUUGCCCACAAAUUAUUUGCUUUAUUAGGUUUUAUGUUUGUUUCAGAUACUCCUAAGAAAUAUCUAAGCCCCUCAAUUAAUUAAUAGCUAAUAUUGUAUUCUGUAAGUAGAAUAUAUGUUGUACCCACACACACACUCCUCUUGAAUUAUAACUCAUGUCAAUACAAACAGUACAGAAAGGAGUGUUACACUGUCUAGCAGGAAGUUUAGUUUUUGUUGCUCAGUGGUUUUGAAUAAAAAGCAAACCUAAAAAAUUAAGACUAUUCUGUAAAUAAAAGAUGUUUGUCCUUUUAUCUGACGGCAGAAAGGAAAAAGAAUCCAAGUUUUUUAGCAGAUUCUUUGAUUUUGCCCUGUCAGAGUCUUUAGCAAUAGAACAAAGUUCUUAUUUAAGUACAGGCAGAAAUGACUGCAGUUUUAAAGUCUUAAGUUUUUAAAGUCACGUCAGUUCAUAGCAAGCAUAUCCACGACGCAGUCACUGAAUUAAUAUUUUCCUCAUGUGCAGUAAUUUUUCUGAUUGCUAUAGGAGAUAUUUCUUUCCUCAGCAAACUUGCUUGAAGCACAUGAAUCUAUCCUUUCAUGGCAUAUUCCUGAGUUCUGGCACUACACACAAACCAAAAAAAUGCCUUAAGAGAGACUAACACUGAUUUUCAUACCAUUAACCGUCACUUUCAUACAGGACAAAGAU